CUAUUGAUUUUUAAGUAUGCAUUUGAUACUCUCGAUUCUGUCUUCUAAUUCCACUGAAUCAAGUAACUGAUUUGAAAGAGCUGUAUUGUAGUAACUAGACU